rnacentral:rRNA from 1 species
UACGGAGGGUGCGAGCGUUGUCCGGAAUCACUGGGCGUAAAGGGCGCGUAGGCGGCCUGAUAAGUAGGGGGUGAAAUCCUGCGGCUUAACCGCAGGGCUGCCUUCUAAACUGUCAGGCUAGAGCACAGUAGAGGCAGGUGGAAUUUCCGGUGUAGCGGUGAAAUGCGUAGAUAUCGGAAGGAACAUCAGUGGCGAAAGCGGCUUCCUGGUCCAGCACCGACGUUCAGGCACGAAAGCGUGGGGAGCAAACAGG